UACGUAGGGUGCAAGCGUUAAUCGGAAUUACUGGGCGUAAAGCGUGCGCAGGCGGUUGUGCAAGACCGAUGUGAAAUCCCCGGGCUCAACCUGGGAAUGGCAUUGGUGACUGUACGGCUAGAGUGUGUCAGAGGGGGGUAGAAUUCCACGUGUAGCAGUGAAAUGCGUAGAGCUGUGGAGGAAUACCGAUGGCGAAGGCAGCCCCCUGGGAUAACACUGACGCUCAUGCACGAAAGCGUGGGGAGCAAACAGG
rnacentral:rRNA from 1 species